GGAACCGUUCUCCCCUUAUCCCUUCCGCUAAUGGCUCUCCUUCCUCGCCCACCUCGCACCCCCGAUCUCCAUCGCCACGUCCUGCGCCGAUCUCAGCUCGUGCUCCUAUGCCCCCGGCCACGCCGACCUCCGGCGGCGCUCCUCCCAUCCUGCACCUCCAACCCCGACUCCGCCGCGCCCAACGCAUCUUCAAUGGAGCGCCUGCACACAGAGAACGCCGGGGUGCAUGGGCAACCUCCAUUGCACUCCCUCCGACGGCCGCCCGGCGGUAACCCAGCUCCUCCCCUCCCUCAUCUUCACCACCAACCGAGCCCCCCAACGACGAACCAAGAGGAGGCGGUGGCGGCUGAAACUUUGGAUCGCUGAUGGGGCGCGGAGAUCCAACAAGCAAUGGUGACGGCGCUUCAAACUCUGCAGGUAUUGCCCUCCUCCCAUCUCCAGCACGUUUCCUAUUUAUUUGACUCUCCCUGGAGAUGGCGAGGUUCACCGACGUGGAACUGCUAGCAGCCACGGUGGGGCUUGGAUUAGGAUUAAUGGCACACAAGAAGAAUCCAUCAAACACGCUCUGCGCUGGAUGUAAAUACUACUUCUAGGUAAGUUUCUGGAUCACACCGGUUCAUAAUUCAACAAGCAUGCCAAGCUUCUCAAGACCCAGAAGUUCGCGUCCAAGCUUGACCAGCAGAUUAAGUUUUUUUAAUGUCCAGGUUAGUUUUUUGUUCAUACCCUAUGCCUCCAUUGAGUUCUUCUAGCUGUUGAGCGUCCAAAGUGGAAUUAGCUAUCAAAAUGGGUUCAAGCUAAACUCUAAUUUAUUUAUUUCUUUGGAUUCAGGUGCACAUGUCAUAGGUGCAGAUGGGCUUGAUCAAGCCGUUAAAUUAAUUUCAUUUACGAACUGACGUGAAGGCGAUGUUUUUUAGUAGAUAUUUCUUCAACAUAUGAAUGGUGCUUGCUUCUUGCGUCCAAAGAUGAUUCACUAUUUUGUUGCUUCAAAUUAGGCUCAAACCAACCAUACCUACAGUAAACACAUCAUAAUUAGAGCUAAACUAUUUUGUGUUCCAUUGAUUUUCAUAACAUGUUGUUUGGAUUGUUGUUGCUAAUUUCUUUGAAAUUGAUUUUCAUAGCAUGCCGUUUGACACUGUCGGCCUCGCAAACCAACCAUACCUACACAUGCCGUCUGACACCGUCGGCCUCACCGUACUCAGCCAGGUUGCCACAACAAGGCGUCAGGAGUUCCAUAUGAACUGGUUGACUGUGGGUGCGGGCAUGGGUACAUCAGAGAAGGGCUCCACUCUUUCAGAGCUAAGUAUUUUUUUUAACUAAAUAAAGAUCCAUGUCUGCACUGUUAUAUAUUUGGUUCAACUCAUAUUACAAGUAUGCAUCUAUCUAUAUAUGUUCCCAAACGAGUGAACCCCUUCCAACGUCAAGAUUAUGCAUGUCUUUCACAUUGUAGCUUCCCAUUGCCCGUUCGUAUGUGCCUCGAAUGGCUUCACCAUUGCAAAAGGUAUUGUAGUCGUGCACAACAUACUACACCGAAUUCUUUGUAGCUUUGUGGAAUUUUGCUGAAAACUGUUGUUAUUAUUUGAGAAUUGAGAGUGAUGUUAUUUUCUUCCUAUGUUGUAGAGUCCAGAAAAGUUUGGUGAAAGGGAACACUAUCAUGGUCUUUUAUAGAGCUACAGAUCAAUCUUUACGAAUGUUUUUCUGUAGGCAAUUGUUUGCUCUGCUUGAAACUGUGAGACCGGUAUUUUGAUUUGUUGUUUCUUCUUAACUGCAGAUUUGUCACCUACUAUUAGGUACAUAUAUUGUGUUACUACACAUUGCCUCUAUAUGUGUUCACUUGAAAAGAUAAGACUAUUUUACCAACCAAUACUUUCAGCUCCCAUUUGAAGGGAA